CACACCACCCACUAAAUUACCGAUUCUUUACGAUAACAGAAGUUAAGCAACGCUGAGCCUGGUCAGUACCUAGAUGGGUGACCGUUUGGGAAUACGAGGGGCUGUCAU